CUUUGGGACUGGGAGCUAUAAGGACCAUCAAGCCUGGAGCUGCCAUUGGCAACUUCAUCCUGCCUCCCGGGGAGAGCCUGCAUGAGAAUGCCAGGCAGAUGUUAAAAAUGGCAUUGCAGGAAAAUAUUUAAUGAUCUGGAGAGAUGUCCAUGAUACCUCCUUGCAUUCAAAAAAAACAAGCUACAAAACAGUACAUACCCUAUUAAUUGCUAUAUCUCUGCUCAUAUCUAUUCAUGUGCAAAUAACAAAAUGGAUGAUAGAUGCCAAGAUAUUAACAGUGGUUCUCUCUGUACCCCAGGCCCUGCCUACCCAGUUGGUGCCGAUGGCCACAGCCAUCAUGCCCGGUGUGAGUAGUCACCUGACCCCAGCUGGCUCAUCAGAUCAUCGCACACAGGAAUGUGACACAAGAGAAGAAGGAACUGGGUGAGAAUGAACUGAAAGGGCAGCAGGGUGGAGCAGCCAGGCCGGGCUGUGGAAAGGCAGAGAAAGCCAGAGGAGAAAGCAGACGGAGAGGAACUUCGACGUCUGGGAUUUGCUUCAAAAUAACCCACUGGGGCGGGUGUCGAUGAAACAGAAUUGGAUGAGCUGAUCACUUUCGAAGCUGGGCAUUGGUACGUAGGUGCUGGGCAGGCCCAGGGAGACGCGGGGACCGGAGAGUGAGCCACUGCCUGUUGGCCCCUCUUGCCUAUGGAGCUGGGCGGCUCUCUCCUAGCUGAGGGGAGGACGAGAGUGCCAAAAAACAGAGAGCCAAGGAGGCAGACCCCAAACUCCAGGAAGCAGAGGUCAGACCUGCAGCCAGGCCCCCACGUUCAUCCUGUGCUGGUGAGCCCUCCUGGCGGUGGAGCAGAGAGCACGGAAAGAGCAGCUUGUUGACGCUAGUGGCCAGAUUCUCAUCUACUCCCAUCUUCAGCAGAUUCCAUAUCUGAGGCCUCAGUUCCCUUCGUUUUGAGAUGGGAAGAUUCCAACUAGAAGAGGACGCCAGAGAGGAAGGAGAGUUCAGUGGGACUGAGGCUGGGCUCCCGGGAGCCAAGGCCACGGCAGGCACUGGGCGGCAGUAAUGGCUGGGGCAGGUCAGGGUGUGAUGGGGGACACUGAGUUGGGAAGACGAGGAGGUUUCAGGGACUGCUCUGUCCCUUCAUCAGCUCUGCCUUCUGAGAGUCAUUUAACACUGGACACCUCAAGCCUCGUGAUAACAGCCACCAGUGCACCAGAUUUUAGAGCCUUCGGUCAGCCAUUCACAGCAAUCCCCUAGGAAGGGACUCCUCAGCACUUUGUGGACGGAGAGGCGGGGCUUGGCGAGGCGUCAAGGCAGCUGGGCUGCCAGUCUCCGAGUCACACUGGAGCCUCUGCCCCAACUCCUGUCCACGCCACCACAGAGCUCAGUGCUUUCAGGGGAGCCCGCUCCGCCAUCUGCUCCACACCCUCGGAACGCUCUGACCUCACUCAGAACAAAACGUGCGCCCCUCCCAGCCCCUCCACCCACCUCCUCUUCCCGCACUGCCCUCCUUCACUGGCUCAGGGGCCUUUCCCAUCACUGUCCCUGGGACUUUUGUCUGUUCUGUGCACUUCUGAAUGUCUUGCCCUUCAGACAGUGUCCACUGUAGACGCUCAAGUAAGCAUUGUGGAUGGAAGGAAGGCAAGCAGGGAGAGAGGAGGGAAGGAAGGGAGGGAGGAAGGGAGCCCAGGCCCCUUAUUUCCACUACCACCCCCCUCCACACCAUGCAGCCAGCCUUGACCCCGCCCCCUUUUGCAGCACCGUUGCUGAUGUAUUUCUGAUUCUCACAUGCACUUGGUCACUCACAUGCAUAUCAGCCUGAAAGACUGAGAGCCCCAAAGUUAUCUGUUUCUCUCAUAAACUGACAAAUGGAUUUUAGAUUCUGUUAAGUUCCGCAGGACUUUGUUCCACUUGUAAUAAAAAAGAAAGGAAGAAAGGAAAAG
ensembl:lncRNA